GACGAACGCUGGCGGCGUGGAGAAGGCAUGCAAGUCGAACGGCAGCACGGACUUCGGUCUGGUGGCGAGUGGCGAACGGGUGAGUAAUGUAUCGGAACGUGCCCAGUCGUGGGGGAUAACGUAGUGAAAAUUACGCUAAUACCGCAUACGAUCUAUGGAUGAAAGCGGGGGAUCGCAAGACCUCGCGCGAUUGGAGCGGCCGAUAUCAGAUUAGGUAGUUGGUGGGGUAAAGGCCCACCAAGCCAACGAUCUGUAGCUGGUCUGAGAGGACGACCAGCCACACUGGAACUGAGACACGGUCCAGACUCCUACGGGAGGCAGCAGUGGGGAAUUUUGGACAAUGGGCGAAAGCCUGAUCCAGCCAUUCCGCGUGCAGGAUGAAGGCCCUCGGGUUGUAAACUGCUUUUGUACAGAACGAAAAGGUUUCUACUAAUACUAGGAGCUCAUGACGGUACUGUAAGAAUAAGCACCGGCUAACUACGUGCCAGCCGCCGCGGUAA
rnacentral:rRNA from 1 species